rnacentral:rRNA from 1 species
UACGUAGGGUGCAAGCGUUGUCCGGAAUUAUUGGGCGUAAAGAGCUCGUAGGCGGUCUGUCACGUCGGCUGUGAAAUCCCGAGGCUCAACCUCGGGUCUGCAGUCGAUACGGGCAAACUAGAGUAUUGCAGGGGAGACUGGAAUUCCUGGUGUAGCGGUGAAAUGCGCAGAUAUCAGGAGGAACACCGGUGGCGAAGGCGGGUCUCUGGGCAAUAACUGACGUGAGGAGCGAAAAGCGUGGGGGAGCGAACAGG